rnacentral:tRNA from 1 species
GUUCCCGUAGUUCAACGGAUAGAAUACCGGCCUCCGAAGCCAGUGAUCCGGGUUCGAGUCCCGGCGGGAACGCCA